AUUACAAUGGCCUUGUAAGCCAUAAAUGAAAGCUAUUUUCUAAGGGUA
rnacentral:tRNA from 1 species